rnacentral:rRNA from 1 species
CAAACUUUCAACAACGGAUCUCUUGGUUCUGGCAUCGAUGAAAACGCAGCGAAAUGCGAUAAGUAGUGUGAAUUGCAGAAUUCAGUGAAUCAUCGAAUCUUUGAACGCACAUUGCGCCCCUUGGUAUCCCGAGGGG